ACUAUAAAUACUGGGAAUGGGAAAAUUGGAUGUGUCAUCGGUCCCAAUGAUAUGCUGUCAACGGUGUGGGCAGGCUGCUUAAACAUUUAGAGUAGCCUGGUUGUGUGGAUUUCAUAGCCUAUGGCACCGAGGAAUAACAGAGUAAGGAACGGCUUGCACCUGAAUAACGAAAACCGAUCAACGGUUGUCAAUGGACACUGAUAAGACGCCUCAUGAUAUCAGACACCCAGAAAUGUUUGGCGAUCGAGAAGUCGAUCGCGAUCGACUGGUUGGUGACCACUGGGAUAAGGCAACCGACUGUAGACGAAAUUCGAGGAGUGAAGUCUGGGGAAUUGCAUCUGCGAAAGCCGAAAGUUGGACACUAAUGUGAUUUUCCAACAGCAAGGCUCAGAUCAACAUGACAGUGUUGCCAUUAUUUUAAAAGGUUUUCUUUAUAAUGUUGAAAUAAACAUGUAUCUAACCCUCAUA